rnacentral:rRNA from 1 species
GACGAACUGUGCAAACGUUAUUCGGAAUCACUGGGCUUGAAGAGUGCGUAGGCGGUUUCGUAAGUCGGGUGUGAAAGCCCCCAGCUCAACUGGGGAACUGCGUCCUAAACUGCGAGGCUGGAGUGAGGUAGGGGUGUGUGGAACUUCCGGUGGAGCGGUGAAAUGUGUUGAUAUCGGAAGGAACGCCGGUGGCGAAAGCGACACACUGGGCCUUGUCUGACGCUGAGGAGCGAAAGCGUGGGGAGCGAACAGG